UACGUAGGGUGCAAGCGUUAAUCGGAAUUACUGGGCGUAAAGCGUGCGCAGGCGGUUUUGUAAGUCUGACGUGAAAUCCCCGGGCUCAACCUGGGAAUUGCGUUGGAGACUGCAAGGCUGGAGUCUGGCAGAGGGGGGGUAGAAUUCCACGUGUAGCAGUGAAAUGCGUGGAGAUGUGGAGGAACACCGAUGGCGAAGGCAGCCCCCUGGGUCAAGACUGACGCUCCAUGCACGAA
rnacentral:rRNA from 1 species